GAUUGGAGCUGGUGGGGCAUCUGCUUUGCAUGCAGAAGGUUCCAGGUUCAAUUCCUGGCAUCUCUA